rnacentral:rRNA from 1 species
UACGUAGGGUGCAAGCGUUAAUCGGAAUUAUUGGGCGUAAAGAGCUCGUAGGCGGUUUGUCGCGUCUGCUGUGAAAACUCGGGGCUUAACCCCGGGCCUGCAGUGGGUACGGGCAGACUAGAGUGCGGUAGGGGAGACUGGAAUUCCUGGUGUAGCGGUGAAAUGCGCAGAUAUCAGGAGGAACACCGGUGGCGAAGGCGGGUCUCUGGGACGGUACUGACGCUGAGACGCGAAAGCGUGGGGAGCAAACAGG